UACAGAGGGUGCGAGCGUUGUCCGGAAUCACUGGGCGUAAAGGGCGCGUAGGCGGACAAUCAAGUCAGGGGUGAAAUCCCACGGCUCAACCGUGGAAGUGCCUUUGAUACUGACUGUCUCGAGGGAGGUAGGGGCGUGCGGAACUUCCGGUGGAGCGGUGAAAUGCGUAGAUAUCGGAAGGAACGCCGGUGGCGAAAGCGGCGCGCUGGACCGUCUUCUGACGCUGAGGCGCGAAAGCUAGGGGAGCAAACGGG
rnacentral:rRNA from 1 species